rnacentral:lncRNA from 1 species
UGCCUCCUCGGGGCCCUGAUGACCGUUCUGGUGCUGUCCUUUGUGAUAUGCGGUGAGUUGACACCCAUGGGUGUCCUUUUUGGGGGUGCUGGGGACUGGGGACACCCCCGUUUGGGCUCAGUGUCCCUCUCCCCCAGUGUCUUGGCUGCUGGUGGAGAGGCAACGGCUCCCGGGGGCCGUGGGGUGCGGGAACGCGUCGCGGGGACAAAGCUUUGCCACCCUGGACUGCACCCACCUGGGGCUGAGGACGAGCCUGUGCCCCCCCGGAGACGGUGGGGGCUGCAAGCUCUGUCCCGUGGGGUGGACGCUGCACAGGAGCAAGUGUUUUUGGGUCGCCAGCAAGAGCAGCUCCUGGAGGGAGAGCCGGGAGAACUGCAGCCGUCAGAGCGCCCAGCUGCUGGUGCCAGAGGACCAGGGCGAGCUGGACUUCCUAAAUCGAGUCGUACAGAAACCCACGCGCUACUUCUGGAUCGGCCUCUCCCGGCCCUCCGUGGGGACGGGUUGGACCUGGCUGGAUGGCUCCCGCCUGGACCAGAGCCGGUUCAACCUGAGCACCCUGAACGCCAGCGGAGCCUGCGGGGUGCUGAGGGAGGACAGGAUCAUCUCCGAAACCUGCGGCUCUGCCUUGGCGUGGAUCUGCCAGAAAGAGGCCGUCCUGCUCUGAGCGGGGCAGAAAUUGGGCGGCCACUUGGGAAAAAAAAAAGAACAAAAAAGAAUCCACUUUGCUUUCAAAAUAAAGUCUCACCCCUGUGGGCUUCGUGUUCUCUGCUAGGGCUGCUGUAAUUUCAGCGUGCAGGGGGUAUUUUGGAAGGGAUGGCUGGUGUGAAGAGGGGGAAAUGAGGUUCUGGGAUUUUGGGGAGGCAGGUGAAAAGGCAGCUUUUUUCUUUUUUUCUUUUUUUUUUCUUUUUUUUCCCAGAAAUGCUAUGAAAACGUCGGCUUGUGCAACCCCGACCUUGUGAGCUCCAGAGGAGCUGGAGCUCAUCCCACCUGCAGAAUAAAUGCCUUUUUUUCUUUCUGUAGCCCUUGGCC